CACCGCGGUUACACGAGUGACACAAGUUAAUAUUUCACGGCGUUAAGGGUGAUUAAAAACAUCUCACUUCAAAUAAAGUUAAGGCCCCCAUCAAGCUGUCAUACGCUCUUAUGUUUGGAAACAUCAUUCACGAAAGUAACUUUAAUUAAACAGAAUUUUUGACCUCGCGACAGUUAGGACC
rnacentral:rRNA from 1 species